AUGAACGCUAGCUACAGGCUUAACACAUGCAAGUCGAGGGGCAGCAUGGUCUUAGCUUGCUAAGGCCGAUGGCGACCGGCGCACGGGUGAGUAACACGUAUCCAACCUGCCGUCUACUCUUGGACAGCCUUCUGAAAGGAAGAUUAAUACAAGAUGGCAUCAUGAGUCCGCAUGUUCACAUGAUUAAAGGUAUUCCGGUAGACGAUGGGGAUGCGUUCCAUUAGAUAGUAGGCGGGGUAACGGCCCACCUAGUCUUCGAUGGAUAGGGGUUCUGAGAGGAAGGUCCCCCACAUUGGAACUGAGACACGGUCCAAACUCCUACGGGAGGCAGCAGUGAGGAAUAUUGGUCAAUGGGCGAGAGCCUGAACCAGCCAAGUAGCGUGAAGGAUGACUGCCCUAUGGGUUGUAAACUUCUUUUAUAAAGGAAUAAAGUCGGGUAUGGAUACCCGUUUGCAUGUACUUUAUGAAUAAGGAUCGGCUAACUCCGUGCCAGCAGCCGCGGUAAUACGGAGGAUUCGAGCGUUAUCCGGAUUUAUUGGGUUUAAAGGGAGCGUAGAUGGAUGUUUAAGUCAGUUGUGAAAGUUUGCGGCUCAACCGUGAAAUUGCAGUUGAUACUGGAUAUCUUGAGUGCAGUUGAGGCAGGCGGAAUUCGUGGUGUAGCGGUGAAAUGCUUAGAUAUCACGAAGAACUCCGAUUGCGAAGGCAGCCUGCUAAGCUGCAACUGACAUUGAGGCUCGAAAGUGUGGGUAUCAAACAGGAUUAGAUACCCUGGUAGUCCACACGGUAAACGAUGAAUACUCGCUGUUUGCGAUAUACGGCAAGCGGCCAAGCGAAAGCGUUAAGUAUUCCACCUGGGGAGUACGCCGGCAACGGUGAAACUCAAAGGAAUUGACGGGGGCCCGCACAAGCGGAGGAACAUGUGGUUUAAUUCGAUGAUACGCGAGGAACCUUACCCGGGCUUAAAUUGCAGAUGAAUUACGGUGAAAGCCGUAAGCCGCAAGGCAUCUGUGAAGGUGCUGCAUGGUUGUCGUCAGCUCGUGCCGUGAGGUGUCGGCUUAAGUGCCAUAACGAGCGCAACCCUUGUUGUCAGUUACUAACAGGUUCUGCUGAGGACUCUGACAAGACUGCCAUCGUAAGAUGUGAGGAAGGUGGGGAUGACGUCAAAUCAGCACGGCCCUUACGUCCGGGGCUACACACGUGUUACAAUGGGGGGUACAGAGGGCCGCUACCACGCGAGUGGAUGCCAAUCCCCAAAACCUCUCUCAGUUCGGACUGGAGUCUGCAACCCGACUCCACGAAGCUGGAUUCGCUAGUAAUCGCGCAUCAGCCACGGCGCGGUGAAUACGUUCCCGGGCCUUGUACACACCGCCCGUCAAGCCAUGGGAGCCGGGGGUACCUGAAGUGCGUAACCGCGAGGAGCGCCCUAGGGUAAAACUGGUGACUGGGGCU
rnacentral:rRNA from 1 species